CUUAAUCUGGAUCAUUGGUUCCCAUCAUCCAAUGGCCUAGAUUAAUCAACAGAUUUUCAAUAUACCAAAACACCCAAACCCCUUUCACUCACCUCAUUUUCACCCUUUCGUCUCCAAAUCAGAGACUAAAACGACCCCCAACCAAACCCUAGCCGCCCUCAUACCCCUUCACCUGAAAGCCGGCGAAAACGAUGUCGGUGACCAUGAAACUCACACCUCUGAACCACCAAACCAUCCCCUCUCCGAAUCCACGCUCAUUUUUCUUCGAAUCACCCACGAGCCCCUCGAAUCUUAGAUCAAAGAAAUCGACCCAAACCCUAGUUCAUCUAAAAUCGACCCCACAUCAACACCACAUACCCCCCAUGAAUCCUUCAUAACAAAUUCAUCAUGGAUUCCUUUCGAAUCAGACCAAAGUUCGUCGAAUAUCAAAUCUAAGUUCAAGCUUUAGAACCCUAAAUUGGGACCAGUGUGCAAGGGAGUCAUUCGUUUGGAUUUCUUGGUUUAUUCAAGUCUGUUUCAGCAUAAAAUAAUGAUGCACGUUUGUUCUCCAACAAGAUCAAAUGUUUGGCAUUAUGUUGUGUUGACUCAGCAUGUCAUUUCCCAGUUCGAUCCUGGCCGGUACACAGCUUGAUCUUGGGUAAUUGUGAACUGAAAUGCGAAGAAUGAACCUGUAAUUGAAGCAUGAGAUCAUUUGAUUUAGUUUUCUGGUUUAUGUAUCAGAAUGUCUGACUCCUUAAUGUUAUUAAGACCUUUGCUUAAAGUUGUACUAGUUGGAUCGAAAUUGUUUAUGUCGUAAUAAACUAAAAACUGUUUGUAUUAGCAUGGAAUGUUAAUCGUUC